AAAAUUCUAAUGGGUUUAUGAAGUUAAAAUAGACGGGAUUAGUCUGAAUGAGGUUGCAAAAAGAGGCCAAUGUGCCAAAAAAGUUGAUGAGGUCCGAUUGUGACUCAACAAGCGUUAUGGACUUUGAGUGUGCUUCUUAUUUGCUCACCACUUUAUGUUCUUCUGCUUUUUUGGUAGCUCAACACGGUAUCAGUGAUCAAAGCAGACCCCCACUAGAGUCACAACUACCUCCAUGCAGAAAAAUAAGCCAAAACAAAAAAUAACAAAAAGAAAAAAAUCUAAAACAAAAGAAAAUUGACAAUCAAAUGCUUUGCUUAUCGAAAAAAAUAUAGACAAGCAAAACAAGU
rnacentral:lncRNA from 1 species